GCCAGAUUAUUCAGAGAAACCUUUAAAAAGUGAUGAUGAUAUCAACAAUUGGUUAAAAUUCUUUAACAUGUCUGCUCCAUUAACAUGUUUAAGUACUUUUGUUUCUCAUGAUCCUGGAUUUAAUUUGAGAGUUGAGCACACUCACUGUUUUAGUGAUCACAAUGAAGGUGGUCAUUACCAUUAUGACAUCACGCCCGAUUCCGUUGAGUAUGAAGGUUACUUUAAUGUGUGCCAUGAACUCUUCCGCAUCGAUCGGCCAUCUACGAGGCAGGAAUUUGGACGAGAUUAGUCAAAAGAGUUUCUAAUAAAAUUGUUUGUUUUCAUACUUCCACCCCAAAACAGAGUGAAAUUAUUUUCUUACUGAUUUAACUGCAUUGUUUACUUUUUUUUUAAUGUAGAUAUUUAUGGCAUAAAAAUAAAAGUGAUUAAAGUUGCUAGAGGUUUUUUAAUAUUAUUUUUCUUAUCCUUAAAGUUUGACUAAAGCUGGGAAGUGAAGUCUUAUGUGCUAGUUGUUUGUUAUGUACCGUUAUAAUAUUUCAUUGAGAUAUGGAGGGUCGGUUAUGUGGGCCAUUUUUUAAAAUUAUAUAGUUGAUUUGCUAGGCCAAUUGUAA